CAUCUCUUUCAAUUGUUUUAGGCUUUGCGUGAUCCAUACUUCAAAGGUCUUGCCAGGGUUGAAAGAGAACCAUCCUGUCAGCCAAUCAGAAAAGUGGAAUUUGACUUUGAGCACAAAAGAAUGUCAAAGGAAGAGAUAAGAGAGUUGAUAUUCCGAGAGAUACUGGAAUAUCACCCACAACUGCUAAGUAGCUACAUUAAUGGCACAGAGAGGACAACCUUUCUCUACCCAAGUGCCGUUGAUCAAUUUAAGAAGCAGUUUUCUCAUCUUGAAGAGAGUGGUGGUAACGGCCCAUCAGUUCCAACAGACAGGAAACAUGCAUCCCUUCCCAGGACCACUGUGGUUCACUCAAAUCCAAUUCCUGCCAAGGAACAACCUCUUGCCGUGUCAUCAAGGGUUAGACCAGUCUCUGAUGAUUCGUGUAAGAAUCCUUGGGAGAAAGCAAGUGGUCCUGGAAAUGUUACCAGGACAUCUCUGACUUUACAAGGGCUGCAAGCACAAGCAGGAUCAGUAAGAGUUAAUGGUCCAGUGACAGAUUCAAGGUAUUCUGCUCACUAA